GAUAGAUAGGGAGAGAUCGGUCAGAGACAGAAAGUGGAGGAGUAAGAGUUGACGGCGGUGGGCUCACAUCGGAACAAUAGCAGUGUCCGGCGGCUACCGAUGACACAUAGCACCGGCCCGAGUUGGCGGCGCCGGUGACGAGAACAAUAGUGGCAGGGGUGCAAGCAGCAGUGAAAACCAGUGAACAGAUGCUUGUUAUCCACCUUUCUUCUAUUAUCAAAAGCAUGACAGCUCUUCACAGCUUGAUCAAUAAUAACUCUUCAUCAGCUAAUGACGGUUGACAACAUGUGAAGCAUGGGAUGAAUAGAGAUACCAAGAUUCAUGGAUUGCUUAGAGCUAUUUUUAUAGUAAAAUUCCUACC